UCUCUCUCUCUCAUCUCCUCCACCCACUGCCCCCUCCCCCACCCUCUCUCUGCUCCUCCGCCCACUGCUCUCCCUCUCUCUCAUAUCCUAGCUCCUCUUCUCUGCCUCCCUCUCUCUCAUCUCCAAAUUUUUUUGGUUUAAUGGAGGACAGAGGAACUAGAUCUGUUUUCUCUCUCCUUCGACACCCACUUCCGGUCACCACCGUGACUCACCUCCACCAUCACCGACCUCCGACGAGUUUAACGCAUCCUCCUUGAGUCCCUGCAACAACCCACGCACCGACUCUGCUCACUUCCACCGUCAAGCACCGCCUCCCUCCACUCCAUCGGCAUAGCCGACCCGCGCAGACCGCCUCCCACUAGUCCAUCCUUCCCUCUUCUCUGUGCCGGCGUCUCUUCCCCCGCCUCUGCCGCCGCCCAGGAAAUUGGCCGGCACCGACAUGCUUCUGUUCUUUUCCCUUCACUUUUUGUUUUGUUUAACACUGUUCUGUUUUGUUUAACGCCGUGUCCGGAGGUGUGGUCACAUGAUUUCCAACAAUCCGAAGGGACCAAUCUGUCGCAUAUGAUCUUUUACCCAUAAAGACCAAAAAUAAUCAAUUGUAACCAGCUAAUUAAGAAGAAACAAUUCAUCCGUACAUGCUGGGAAUUGUAAGUUGCUAGCAGGUGCCAUGAUGAAUAAGCUGGAGUUAAUUGGUGCCAUUAAGAAGAAACAAUUCAUCCUUCUUAUUGUUGCUUACAUGCUUCUUCUAACAGGUGUAUUAAGAUUGCAAUUGUGCAUGACAUUGCAGAAGUGCAUACAAGGAAAUUUUGGAGGUUGAACCCCCUGAAUGGCUUCCUGACAGUUCGACUAGAGUUUGCAUGCAGUGCACUUCUCCUUUCACUGCCUUAACUCGUGGCACUAUGAGGAAAUGGCCAACCUCUUUAAGCACAUCUGCUACCUGGUGCACAAAGUUCCAGAGAUGAUUCCUCUAGAACAGAGUAGGAGCUUUGGGCAAUAAUCUCUUCAAAUGUACAAUUGGGAUGGUUGAAAGGCCCAACCUUGAUCGGAUUUUGUGGUUCAACUGUGAAAUAUGUACUUUUGAUUUUUUUAUUUAUGUAAUUUUGUGUGAAUAAUUUUGUGUGAAUUGUGGAUUUCUGUGAAAUGUAAAGAAUAUCUUGUUAUGAAUGUAAAGUUUUAAUAUUUUCGAUUGAGUUGUGGAUUUGUUCAUUUUAUUGUAAAUAUUUGUAGUA